rnacentral:rRNA from 1 species
AUGGGAGACCCAGAGAACAGAUUCCAGAGGUUGCAGCUAUCAGAGGCGGAGAAGUCAGGCAUCCGAAUUGGGGGCUGGAGUAGCAACUCAAGCAUAUCCGGAAAGCUGCAGGUUAUAGGGAAGCUUUUCUCGGAGCGUCCAGCAAAAGUCGAUAUCCUAGCAAAGACACUGGGGAGCUUUUGGUGCCCGUUCUCGGGGGUUAAAUGUAAGAACUUGGGCAUGAACAGAUUCUUAUUCACCUUCCCGGGUGUAGUGAUGAAGAAGAAGGCCCUCAUGGGGGGGUGGAGUUUUAGGAAGGAGUUGCUGGUGAUUGAAGACUUUGCGCCCAGCAAAACUUUGGAUGAAUACGAAUUCAGGUAUUGUCCGAUAUGGGUGCGUGUUUUUGGUUUACCCAUGGGGAGCAUGAGCAGAGAAACUGGAGAACAAUUUGGGAACAUAAUUGGAAAAACUCUUGAAGUAGAUGUUGAUGGUAAUGGCUUGGCAAUAGGACAAUUUCUGAGAAUUAAAGUUAGAACGGAUAUUAGGAAACCGAUCAUGAGGUUUCUAUCUGUUUGUGUGGACAAAGAUGAAGAUGAGGAAUUGGCAGGUGUAGAGGAGAUAGAAGAAGAAGACGACUCAGAGGAAAAGAAGAAUAAGGACAAGGAAAGGAUAAUAACCUUCAAAUAUGAGCAUCUUCCAGAUUUUUGA